rnacentral:sRNA from 1 species
AACCACCUCACCUGGAUGCUUUUGUUCAAACAAUAGGCGAUGUAUCGCUGUCUAGACGCGUACAAAUCUUUUAUCACAAAAACCCAAGAUCCAGUUCCAGGCAGUUAAAUAUGGGUUACUUGUCUUGGGGGAAAUGGAUGUGUUUUGCAGAAAACUGUGAUCUCUGGAGUAUUCUUGAUUCCCUUAAUAAAGCAAUUCACUUGUCGAUAAUCCUACCAUAUGUGAAUGUUAUAGUGUUUUCCCCAAGUAGAUGUCAUGUGUAUAAAUACAACAGCUUUUAUUUAUAUAGCCUCUUCUCUUCAGUACUUAGACACUUACAGCAUCUAGUACUUACUAUUACAUGUACUUGGUCAUCACUAAACGGACUCUACUCUUCAAUAUAAGUACUACUGAUUUCUGAUCGGACAACUAACCUGCAAUUCGGCGGAGGGUCAAUGGUGAUUUCUGCCAAUUCUUUUUGAAUUCUGAAAAAAAAAAAAAAAACAACCAGAAAUAAAUUUGAUCGUGAAUAAUUAUGUCUCCUUUACACUGUUUCUCUUAAACAGGAAGUCAUCGUUCAUAAUAAGCUUAUCUACUGACAUGCAGCAGGACUUGUAUCCUGUGAUUAAAUAAAGAUGAGCAAACUUG